GCAGUCAAGCUGUAGACAACACACAGCACUAACAGAAACAGUAACAGAAGUAGAAAAAAAAAUUAACUGCAAUUGAAAAAAAGCAAAACUGCAAUCAAUUCUCAAAUCCAAUCAGCAACAAGAAUUAGGAAAAAAAUAAAACGAGAAGAAAUAAAAAAUACCUCAAAAAACAAGUGCUGACAAAAAUUUUUGUAGAAAAUUAAAAACGAAAAAUUUAUAUACUUUCCAAAACUAAGAAAUAAUAAAUGUGAUGAAUAAAAAUAGAAAACAAAACAAAAAAAAAACUAAAAUCAAAACACAAAAAUAACCGCAAACAAAUAACUAAAGCAACUUUAAAAGUUCCAAAACAAAAACAAAUUAUAUAUAAAAUAUAUAAUUUGUAGAAUAGAAAUUGUGAUUAAAAAAAAAACAACAACAGAUUGCUUUAAAUCCCCAUUCAAAAGAAAGCUUCCAAAAUUGAAAAUUUAAGAAGGAUAUAGGAAGAAAACCAGUAUAUAUUUGGCCUACUGUGAAUAAAAAGAAAAUUGAAAAGUCUUAAAAAGUUUGGAAAACUUUUGAACAACAGUGUAUCCAAAAUUAAAAAAAAAAAAAACAAAGUGAGAAACUAUUUGAACUACAGUGUAUUGAAUAAUAUUAAAAACAAUAUCGGAAAAUAUUUGAACUACAGUGUAUUGAAUAAUAUUAAAAACUAUAUCGGAAAAUAUUUGAACUACAGUGUAGGAAAACAUUGAACUACAGUGAAGGAUAAAAAAAUA